AUGGCCCCUUGUGCAACUGCCGGCGCGCAGAUGCUGGCCGCACGCCCCUGCGUCUCGGCCUCUCAGAGCAUGCUCGCCUCGAGGGCGGCCGUCUCACGGAUCGACCUGGCGCUCGGCGCUAGUAGCUUUGCAAGCUGUCCCAGAAUCUCCUGCUCCAGGUCUCUCGGUUCUUCCAGGAGCAGCCCUGUCGCCGUAAGAGCGGUGUCAGGAGAAGGUAGCUCUUCUGGGCUGCCCAUCGAUCUUAGAGGGAAAAGGGCAUUUAUUGCUGGGGUUGCUGAUGAUAACGGCUAUGGCUGGGCAAUUGCGAAGGCUCUUGCCGCAGCUGGUGCUGAAAUUCUUGUUGGUACAUGGGUGCCUGCACUUAACAUAUUUGAGACAAGCCUGAGGCGCGGAAAAUUUGACGAAUCACGAAAGCUGCCUGAUGGAUCUCUUAUGGAGAUUGUUAAAGUUUACCCACUGGAUGCUGUCUAUGAUUCCCCGGAGGAUGUUCCUGAAGAUGUCAAAACAAACAAAAGGUAUGCAGGAUCGUCAAAUUGGACUGUGAAGGAAGCUGCCGAAUUAGUUAAGAAGGAAUAUGGCAGCAUUGACAUUCUUGUGCAUUCUCUUGCUAAUGGUCCUGAGGUUACAAAACCUUUGCUGGAAACCUCAAGAAGUGGGUAUCUUGCUGCAAUUUCGGCAUCCAGUUACUCCUUUGUUUCUUUACUUAAGCACUUCCUUCCUAUCAUGAAUCCAGGGGGUGCUAGUAUCUCGCUAACAUACAUUGCAUCUGAAAGGACAAUCCCUGGAUAUGGCGGUGGCAUGAGCUCAGCUAAAGCAGCUCUUGAGAGUGAUACAAAAGUACUUGCUUUUGAAGCUGGACGCAAAGGCAAAAUCCGAGUUAACACCAUAUCUGCAGGUCCUCUGGGAAGCAGAGCAGCCAAGGCAAUUGGAUUCAUUGAGAAGAUGAUCGAGUACUCUUAUGUCAAUGCACCAUUGCAGAAGGAGCUUCUGGCAGAUGAAGUCGGGAACACAGCAGCAUUCCUGGUGUCUCCUUUGGCUUCCGCCAUCACUGGAUCGACUGUUUACGUUGACAACGGACUGAACACCAUGGGUCUUGCGGUUGACAGCCCCACAGUAUCUUCGUUGUUGUGA
rnacentral:rRNA from 1 species